CACGGGGGGAGCAAGCGUUGUUCGGAAUCACUGGGCGUAAAGGGCGUGUAGGCGGUUCGGUAAGUGGAAUGUGAAAUGCUCCGGCUCACCCGGAGUACUGCAUCCCAAACUGCCGAGCUUGAGUAUGGGAGAGGAUGAGGGAAUUCCUGGUGUAGCGGUGAAAUGCGUAGAUAUCAGGAGGAACACCGGUGGUGUAGACGGCUCUCUGGACCGUAACUGACGCUGAGACACGAAAGCGUGGGUAGCAAACAGG
rnacentral:rRNA from 1 species